rnacentral:rRNA from 1 species
UGGCUCAGGAAGAACGCUAGCGGCAGGCUUAACACAUGCAAGUCGAGGGGCAGCGGGGAGGAAGCUUGCUUUCUCCGCCGGCGACCGGCGCACGGGUGAGUAACACGUAUGCAACCUGCCCCUGUCAGGGGGACAACCCGCCGAAAGGCGGGCUAAACCCGCGUACAUGCCACCGGGGCAUCCCGGAGGCAGGAAAGGCUUCGGCCGGACAGGGAUGGGCAUGCGGCGCAUUAGGCAGUAGGCGGGGUAACGGCCCACCUAACCGACGAUGCGUAGGGGUUCUGAGAGGAAGGUCCCCCACACUGGUACUGAGACACGGACCAGACUCCUACGGGAGGCAGCAGUGAGGAAUAUUGGUCAAUGGUCGGGAGACUGAACCAGCCAAGCCGCGUGAGGGAGGAAGGUACAGAGUAUCGUAAACCUCUUUUGUCAGGGAACAAAGACUGGGACGCGUCCCCGGAUGAGUGUACCUGAAGAAAAAGCAUCGGCUAACUCCGUGCCAGCAGCCGCGGUAAUACGGAGGAUGCGAGCGUUAUCCGGAUUUAUUGGGUUUAAAGGGUGCGCAGGCGGUCUGUUAAGUCAGCGGUCAAAGCCCGGGGCUCAACCCCGGCCCGCCGUUGAAACUGGCAGUCUCGAGUUGGAGAGAAGUAUGCGGAAUGCGCGGUGUAGCGGUGAAAUGCAUAGAUAUCGCGCAGAACUCCGAUUGCGAAGGCAGCAUGCCGGCUCCACACUGACGCUGAGGCACGAAAGCGUGGGUAUCGAACAGGAUUAGAUACCCUGGUAGUCCACGCAGUAAACGAUGAAUGCUGGCUGUCCGGGGGGACUGACCCCUGGGUGGCGAAGCGAAAGCGAUAAGCAUUCCACCUGGGGAGUACGCCGGCAACGGUGAAACUCAAAGGAAUUGACGGGGGCCCGCACAAGCGGAGGAACAUGUGGUUUAAUUCGAUGAUACGCGAGGAACCUUACCCGGGCUCAAACGGGGAGUGACUCAGGCAGAGACGCCUGUUUCCCACGGGACACUCCCCGAGGUGCUGCAUGGUUGUCGUCAGCUCGUGCCGUGAGGUGUCGGCUUAAGUGCCAUAACGAGCGCAACCCCCGCGUGCAGUUGCUAACAGAUAACGCUGAGGACUCUGCACGGACUGCCGGCGCAAGCCGCGAGGAAGGCGGGGAUGACGUCAAAUCAGCACGGCCCUUACGUCCGGGGCGACACACGUGUUACAAUGGGUGGUACAGCGGGAAGCCAGGCGGCGACGCCGAGCGGAACCCGAAAUCCACUCUCAGUUCGGAUCGGAGUCUGCAACCCGACUCCGUGAAGCUGGAUUCGCUAGUAAUCGCGCAUCAGCCAUGGCGCGGUGAAUACGUUCCCGGGCCUUGUACACACCGCCCGUCAAGCCAUGGGAGCCGAGGGCGCUUGAAGUGCGUCGCCGCGAGGCGCGCCCUAGAGCGAAAUCGGUGACUGGGGCUAAGUCGUAACAAGG